AACACAAAACUCCCUAGGUCAGCUGAUAGCUGUUAAAACAGAGAUUUGAACCCCAGAUUUCAAUCCCCAGAAGUCCUUGGUACUUCCCAGAAUUCCCUAUAAUCUCACCUGAGUCUCCACCUGGAUGAGAUCACAAUUUAUUAUUUAAAGGGCUCUCUGCCUCUCAAGAGCUCUCUUCCUCUACUCAGAUUGCAACAUAUAUGUCAGUAUCAUAUCAACCAAAACUAAGUAUUCCUGGAACCCAAGAGUGACAUCACAAAGAGCAGGACUACUGUGCGUUGCCAAGAUCUUGCUUUAUGAUUUACACUCCAAAGGGGUGAGAAAUGGUUAA
rnacentral:lncRNA from 1 species